rnacentral:rRNA from 1 species
AAAUUGAAGAGUUUGAUCAUGGCUCAGAUUGAACGCUGGCGGCAGGCCUAACACAUGCAAGUCGAACGGUAACAGGGAUCA